rnacentral:ncRNA from 1 species
UAGAGCCGUAUGAAUCGAGAGGUUCACGUACGGUUCCUUUAGAUUUGAAUCUAGAAAUAAUAUACAAAUUAAUU